GAUGAACGCUAGCGGGAGGCUUAACACAUGCAAGUCGAGGGGUAGAGGUAGCAAUACUUUGAGACCGGCGGACGGGUGCGUAACGCGUAUGCAACUUGCCUUAUACAGGGGGAUAGCCCGUGGAAACGCGGAUUAAUACUCCAUAGUUCAUUGUUACUGCCUGGUAAUAAUGGUAAAGCUGAGGUGGUAUAAGAUAGGCAUGCGUCUGAUUAGCUGGUUGGUAGGGUAACGGCCUACCAAGGCGACGAUCAGUAGGGGUUCUGAGAGGAACAACCCCCACACUGGUACUGAGACACGGACCAGACUCCUACGGGAGGCAG
rnacentral:rRNA from 1 species